CCUACGGGUGGCAGCAGUGAGAAAUAUUGGUCAAUGGGCGAGAGCCUGAACCAGCCAAGUCGCGUGAGGGAGUACUGCCCUAUGGGUUGUAAACCUCUUUUGUCGGGGAGCAAAAGCCGGACGUGUCCGGCUGUGAGAGUACCCGAAGAAAAAGCAUCGGCUAACUCCGUGCCAGCAGCCGCGGUAAUACGGAGGAUGCGAGCGUUAUCCGGGUUUAUUGGGUAUAAAGGGGGCGCAGGCGGAUUUUUAAGUCAGCGGUAAAAUCGUGGGGCUCAACCCCAUCCAGCCGUUGAAACUGGGGAUCUAGAGUGUGCGAGAGGUAUGCGGAAUGCGGGGUGUAGCGGUGAAAUGGAUAGAUAUCACGCAGAACCCAGAUUGAGAAGGCAGCAUACCGGUGCAAAACUGACGCUCAGGCAAGAAAGCGUGGGUAUCGAACAGGAUUAGAUACCCGGGGUC
rnacentral:rRNA from 1 species